UAUUUGGCUUUAUGUAGGUUGUUGCCAUUUUUUCCACUAUGCAGUUUGUAUUUUUGUCUCAUAAUGACAUGGUGCUCGCUUUGUCCAAAACCUCCAUCCAGUAAAAUGGCCCUAAUGCUCCACCCACACAGAGUUACGUGAAUGUUCUCUGCACUUGAAUGUAGGACCUCUUACCCUCCUCACAUCUAACAACCAAAAGACUUCACUUACCAGGUGAGCUGUGUAAAGCUGAGGUGUAAACACACAGACCAUGUCCAGACUGACCGCAGCAUGUUUUGUGUUGGUUCUAGUCGGGUGCAUCAGGGCACAGUUAAGCCACUCCACAGAGUGGGAGAUUGUCCGAAAAACCCGGAGCAAGCGCAUCUCCUGUAAUGUGGACGACGCCUUUUCUCUGAGCUCAUAUGCUCUUCACUGGUACAGACAGAGACCUGGAGAAGGUCUGCGCCGCAUUCUGUACUUUGGAGCAGGCAGUUCAAGCCCCACUGCUGAAGCUGAUUUUUCUAGCAGGUUUAAUGGAGCCAAAAAAGAGCAAACGACUUAUCUGACCAUUACUAACGCGAGAGAUGAGGACACGGCCACGUAUUACUGUGCCCUGUGGAAGGAUGGCACUGUUACUCAGAGACUGAGAACAUCUGCACAAAUACCAAGGUUUCCUGAUACUGCUUAUUUACAACCACAAACCGUGUGGCAGAAAUGAACUAAAAUAAAUAGUUGUAGAAAA